AGUGUAAUUGCUGGAUCAUAUGGUAAGAGUUUAGUUUUGAAAGAAACCACCAAACUGUCUUCCAAAGUGGCUGUACCAUUUUAUAGUCCCACCAGCAAU
rnacentral:pre_miRNA from 1 species